rnacentral:rRNA from 1 species
GAGUGAAACUCAAAGGAAUUGACGGGGACCCGCACAAGUAGCGGAGCAUGUGGUUUAAUUCGAAGCAACGCGAAGAACCUUACCUAAGCUUGACAUCCCAAUGACAUCACCUUAAUCGGAGAGUUCCCUUCGGGGCCAUUGGUGACAGGUGGUGCAUGGUUGUAGUCAGCUCGUGGCAUGAGAUGGUGGGUUAAGUCACGCAACGAGCGCACCCCUUGUCUUUAGUUGCCGUCCAUAAGUUGGGCACUCUAGAGAGACUGCCAGGGAUAACCUGGAGGAAGGUGGGGAUGACGUCAAAUCAUCAUGCC